CCAGACUCCUACGGGAGGCAGCAGUGAGGAAUAUUGGUCAAUGGGCGCGAGCCUGAACCAGCCAAGUCGCGUGAGGGAUGACGGCCCUACGGGUUGUAAACCUCUUUUGCCGGGGAGCAAGGGCGGGGACGUGUCCCGGCCCGGAGAGUACCCGGAGAAAAAGCAUCGGCUAACUCCGUGCCAGCAGCCGCGGUAAUACGGAGGAUGCGAGCGUUAUCCGGAUUUAUUGGGUUUAAAGGGUGCGUAGGCGGGCUUUUAAGUCAGCGGUAAAAAUUCGGGGCUCAACCCCGUCCGGCCGUUGAAACUGAUGUUCUUGAGUGGGCGAGAAGUAUGCGGAAUGCGUGGUGUAGCGGUGAAAUGCAUAGAUAUCACGCAGAACUCCGAUUGCGAAGGCAGCAUACCGGCGCCCAACUGACGCUGAAGCACGAAAGCGUGGGUAUCGAACAGGAUUAGAUACCCUAGUA
rnacentral:rRNA from 1 species